rnacentral:rRNA from 1 species
AAUUGUUAGUGGCAGACGGGUGAGUAAUGCGUAGGAAUCUACCUAGUAGUAUGGAAUAGCCAUUAGAAAUGAUGGGUAAUACUGUAUAAUCCCUGCGGGGGAAAGAUUUAUCGCUAUUAGAUGAGCCUACGUUAGAUUAGCUAGUUGGUAAGGUAAUGGCUUACCAAGGCUAUGAUCUAUAGCUGGUCUGAGAGGACGAUCAGCCACACUGGAACUGAGAUACGGUCCAGACUCCUACGGGAGGCAGCAGUGGGGAAUAUUGGACAAUGGGCGAAAGCCUGAUCCAGCUAUGCCGCGUGA